UUAGCAUAUCAAUAAGCGGAGGAAAAGAAACCAACAGGGAUUGCCUUAGUAACGGCGAGUGAAGCGGCAACAGCUCAAAUUUGAAAUCUGGUCCCCUUUGGGGGCCCGAGUUGUAAUUUGAAGAGGAUGCUUUUGGCGAGGCGCCGUCCGAGUUCCCUGGAACGGGACGCCGCAGAGGGUGAGAGCCCCGUACGGUCGGACGCCGAGCCUCUGUAAAGCUCCUUCGACGAGUCGAGUAGUUUGGGAAUGCUGCUCAAAAUGGGAGGUAAACCCCUUCUAAAGCUAAAUACUGGCCAGAGACCGAUAGCGCACAAGUAGAGUGAUCGAAAGAUGAAAAGCACUUUGAAAAGAGAGUUAAAAAGCACGUGAAAUUGUUAAAAGGGAAGCGCUUGCGACCAGACUUGCGCCCGUCGGAUCAACCGUCGCUUGCGGCGGCGCACUCCGGCGGGCUCAGGCCAGCAUCAGUUCGUCCGGGGGGAGAAAGGCGGCGGGAAUGUGGCUCUUCGGAGUGUUAUAGCCCGCCGUGUAAUACCCUCGGGUGGACUGAGGACCGCGCGUAUGCAAGGAUGCUGGCGUAAUGGUCGUCAGCGACCCGUCUUGAAACACGGACCAAGGAGUCGUCCUAAUAUGCGAGUGUACGGGUGUCAAACCCCUGCGCGUAAUGAAAGUGAACGGAGGUGAGAGCUUCGGCGCAUCAUCGACCGAUCCUGAUGUUCUCGGAUGGAUUUGAGUAAGAGCAUAUUGGGCCGGACCCGAAAGAAGGUGAACUAUGCCUGUGUAGGGUAAAGCCAGAGGAAACUCUGGUGGAGGCUCGCAGCGGUUCUGACGUGCAAAUCGAUCGUCAAACAUGGGCUUGGGGGGCGAGGACUAAUCGAACCUUCUAGUAGCUGGUAUCCGCGAUU
rnacentral:rRNA from 1 species